rnacentral:rRNA from 1 species
UACGUAGGAGACGAGCGUUGUCCGGAGUUACUGGGCGUAAAGGGUGCGCAGGUGGCCGUGCGCGUGGGGAGUGGAAUCGCCUGGCUUAACUGGGCGGGGGCUUUCCAGACGGCGCGGCUUGAGCCACAGAGGGGGGCGUGGAAUUCCGGGUGGAGCGGUGAAAUGCGUAGAGAUCCGGAGGAACACCGACGGCGUAGGCAGCGCCCUGGCUGUGAAUAAAGCUGACACUGACGCUCAGGCACGAAAGCGUGGGGAGCAAACAGG